rnacentral:lncRNA from 1 species
UUUACACGCUUUAAACCAAUAAGAAUGUAUAUUGCAAGGAAGACAAUCGUAUAAAGAAGACGAUGUUAAACGAUAAUGUGUAUUACAGGAAAAAUGCGAAGCAAUAAUAUAUACGGCCGAAGUCAAACUUAUAAACAUACGAAUAGCACGUAGUAGAAUAUGGUAUAUGGAUGGAGUAAAAUCAGAUCCAUACGAAUAUAAUUUCAGAAAAACGAUUGAGUUGGAACUUAUAAAGUCGACACUAUAAUAUGGAUUCGAUAACAAAGCAUGAAACUGCAGUUAAAUCACAAUUUUAUUAAAGCAAUACUUAUCUCCCUCACGUC